UCAGAAUGGCACAGGGGCAAACAUGCUUGUCCACAGUUUCAGGAGACAUCUAGCUGGUUAAUAAAAUGCAAAGGCAGGUAACCAACACCUUAAAAAGUACAAGGGAGGUAUCUGGAUCCAACUGAUCAGCUCUUUAUUUUAUUUUAUUUUUUUUAAAUUUAUUUAUGAUAGUCACAUAGAGAGAGAGAGAGAGAGAGAGAGAGAGAGAGGCACAGACACAGGCAGAGGGAGAAGCAGGCUCCAUGCACCGGGAGCCUGACGUGGGAUUUGAUCCCGGAUCUCCAGGAUCGCGCCCUGGGCCAAAGGCAGGCGCCAAACCGCUGUGCCACCCAGGGAUCCCCUGAUCAGCUCUUUAAACCAAGAGGAGUUUAUUUCCCUCUGGCCUUUGUCUGGACUUCAAGCACCAAUCUCUAGAUACCAGGAAAAGUCCCACUCCACUUCUCCUUGCACUGAAACCAUCACUUCCAGGGGAAAAGUCAGAAUCUAGCAUGGCUUAUCCUUGCUCUGAGGAAGUCUUCUGGGGAGUCUAGAGAAGUGGUUAACAAGGAUCAGUGCUGGGGAUGAGUUCAAUAUGGUUCUUCUCACGGGCAGCCAAUGUUGAGAAGUACUGACCUUGCCACUCCAAGUGUGAUCUGGAGGCCAGAAGCAUAUCUCAUCCGAGAGCUGGUUGGAAAUGCAGUUUUAAGCUCCACCCCUGACCUGUUAAUCAAAAUCUGUCUCUGAACAUGAUCCCCAGUGGUUUACAUGCACUUUAAAGCUUGAGAAGCCCUGCUAAAGAGAAUAGAACUUGGCCUUAGAAGACAGAGGGUUUUGAUUUCUACAAAAGAACUCAGAAUUUGAAAGAGAAUGGCCCCCAAUCUCUGGAUCUUUCCUAGUAUCAGCUUCCUUCAGUUCGCAAGUUCUUUGACCUUGGCUCAGACUCCACCAUCCCAUAGAGCGCUGCUGCAGUCCAUUGUGCCACAGGGUAGAUUUGAUGCAACAAUUUUCAAAACCCGUUCAAGGCCCUGCCAUGCCUCUAUUAGGCCUUCUGCUGCUCAAUCCAGUAGUCAGAUAGGAAAAUUAACAUCUUGGUUCUGACUCCCCUGAUUUCACUCAAAUAAAGAGAAGUCAGAAGUGACAAACUCCUGUUCUGAAAAUGAACAAAAUUUAUUUUGUUGGAAUAACUUUAUUUUGAGUAGUAUGGAAAUUUGCUUUAAGAAUAUUGAGAAAAGCUUCAAAUUUUGAUGUGAUUAGCUCAAGCAGUUUUAUUCCUUCACAAAGGCAACUAAAUACACUUCCUUAUUGAGUUUGCACAAACGCUACAACAAAUGAAUAGGAAACAUUUAAGUAAUUUCCCCAGUAAAAUGGAAUUGCAAAGCAAAGCAGUGAACAUAGCUUAUUGUAAAUUUUUGCAAUAAGUAUGAAUUUCCAUUGAUUUAAAAGCCUUGUCUGAGACAACUGACACAACCUUCACUGAUGCUGCUGGAGGUACUGCUGCCAUCACUGAGUGGGAAACAGUGCCUCCAACACUGACAGAGAGGCACUACCAGAAGCAGAAGAGCUUCUCUGUGCCUCCCAUUUUAGAUUGGGAGUAUCUCCUUAGAACCUAGCUAGCAAGGGAGUUUGGGAUUUGUGAAAUGUCCCAGUGGUAUAGGUAAGAUCAUAAAAGGAUCAAUGGACAAUCUGAGUAUGAAUACAUAAUAUUUAGCACAUCUGUGUUGUGUAAUUUUACUACAGUAUCUCUGUGUGUAGAUUUAUCUUCAUUUUUCCUGCUCAGGACUCCCUGUGUUUCUGAAAUCCAAGGAUUCUUAUCU